GAUGAACGCUGGCGGCGUGCCUAAUACAUGCAAGUCGAGCGAAUGGAUUAAGAGCUUGCUCUUAUGAAGUUAGCGGCGGACGGGUGAGUAACACGUGGGUAACCUGCCCAUAAGACUGGGAUAACUCCGGGAAACCGGGGCUAAUACCGGAUAACAUUUUGAACCGCAUGGUUCGAAAUUGAAAGGCGGCUUCGGCUGUCACUUAUGGAUGGACCCGCGUCGCAUUAGCUAGUUGGGGAGGUAACGGCUGACAAAGGCAACGAUGCGUAGCCGACCUGAGAGGAUGACCGGCCAAACUGGGACUGAGACACGGCCCAGACUCCUACGGGAGGCAGCAGUAGGGAAUCUUCCGCAAUGGACGAAAGUCUGACGGAGCAACGCCGCGUGAGUGAUGAAGGCUUUCGGGUCGUAAAACUCUGUUGUUAGGGAAGAACAAGUGCUAGUUGAAUAAGCUGGCACCUUGACGGUACCUAACCAGAAAGCCACGGCUAACUACGUGCCAGCCGCCGCGGUAA
rnacentral:rRNA from 1 species